rnacentral:rRNA from 1 species
CCUACGGGAGGCAGCAGUAGGGAAUCUUCCACAAUGGGCGCAAGCCUGAUGGAGCAACGCCGCGUGGGUGAAGAAGGUCUUCGGGUCGUAAAACCCUGUUGUUAGAGGAGAAAGUGCGGGAGAGUAACUGUUCACGUUUCGACGUUAUCUAAACAGAAAGGCACGGCUAACGACGUGACAGCAGCCGCUGUAAUACGUAGGUGGCAAGCCUUGUCCGGAUUUAUUGGGUGGAAGGGGAACGUAGGCGGGUUGUUAAGUCAGAUGUGAAAGUGUUCGGCCUAACCGGAGUAUUGCAUUGGAGACUGGGAGCCUUGAGUGCAGAUGAGGAAAGCGGAACUCGAGGUGUAGCGGUGAAAUGCUUAGAUAUAUGGAAGAACACCAGUGGCGAAAGCGGCCUUCUGGUCUGUAACUGACGCUGAGGUUCGAAAGCGUGGGUAGCAAACAGGAUUAGAUACCCCGGUAGUC